rnacentral:misc_RNA from 1 species
GAUGAAGAACGCAGCGAAAUGCGAAAAGUAAUGUGAAUUGCAGAAUUCAGUGAACCAUCGAAUCUUUGAACGCACAUUGCGCCCGCUGGAACUCCGGCGGGCACGCCUGUCCGAGCGUCAUUUCAACCCUCAGGCCCCCCUUCGCGGGCGGGCCUGGUGUUGGGGCCCGGCCGCUACCCUGCGGCCGUCCCCUAAAUUCAGUGGCGGCCUCGCCGUGAUCCCUUGCGUAGUAAUGCACCUCGCACCGGAGAGCGCCGUGGCCACGCCGUAAAACCCCCAAUUUCCAAUGGUUGACCUCGGAUCAGGUGGGAAUACCCGCUGAACUUAAGCAUAUCAAUAAGCGGAGGA